AACUCCCGUGCCCAGCAGCCGCGGUAAUACGGAGGGUGCGAGCGUUAAUCGGAAUUACUGGGCGUAAAGCGCAUGCAGGUGGUUUGUUAAGUCAGAUGUGAAAGCCCGGGGCUCAACCUCGGAAUUGCAUUUGAAACUGGCAAAACUAGAGUACUGUAGAGGGGGGUAGAAUUUCAGGUGUAGCGGUGAAAUGCGUAGAGAUCUGAAGGAAUACCGGUGGCGAAGGCGGCCCCCUGGACAGAUACUGACACUCAGAUGCGAAAGCGUGGGGAGCAAACAGGAUUAGAUACCCUGGUAGUCCACGCCGUAAACGAUGUCUACUUGGAGGUUGUGGCCUUGAGCCGUGGCUUUCGGAGCUAACGCGUUAAGUAGACCGCCAAGGGAGUACGGUCGCAAGAUUAAAACUCAAAUGAAUUGACGGGGGCCCGCACAAGCGGUGGAGCAUGUGGUUUAAUUCAAUGCAACGCGAAGAACCUUACCUACUCUUGACCUCCAUUUGCUUUCCAGAGAUGGAUUGGUGCCUUCGGGAA
rnacentral:rRNA from 1 species